rnacentral:rRNA from 1 species
CCGUGCCCAAGAGACUGGGAUAACACCUGGAAACAGAUGCUAAUACCGGAUAACAACACUAGACGCAUGUCUAGAGUUUAAAAGAUGGUUCUGCUAUCACUCUUGGAUGGACCUGCGGUGCAUUAGCUAGUUGGUAAGGUAACGGCUUACCAAGGCAAUGAUGCAUAGCCGAGUUGAGAGACUGAUCGGCCACAUUGGGACUGAGACACGGCCCAA